UACGGGGGGGGCAAGCGUUGUUCGGAAUUACUGGGCGUAAAGGGCUCGUAGGCGGCCAACUAAGUCAUACGUGAAAUCCCUCGGCUUAACCGGGGAACUGCGUCUGAUACUGGAUGGCUUGAGUUCGGGAGAGGGAUGCGGAAUUCCAGGUGUAGCGGUGAAAUGCGCAGAUAUCAGGAAGAACACCAAUGGCGAAGGCAGCUCGCUGGGACGGUACUGACGCUGAGGCGCGAAAGCGUGGGGAGCAAACAGG
rnacentral:rRNA from 1 species